AUAAUCACAUUCAGAAGUAAUAAAUAUUUCUAAAAAUAAAAAAUUAUGAAAAAAAAAAAAAAUGUAAACUCAUGGAUUUACUGGUAAAGUGAAUUUGAAUUUGAAGAAACAAAUUUCUUAGACGUUCCUUUUUUUUUUUCCUUAAUCUUUUAAGUCAUUUAUUAACUUUUUCAGUGCAUAAUUUGGUUAAAAUUACCAUCAGAGAGGUCCAAUUAGUGGUGUUAAAAUGUCGUCAGCUGAUAUCAAUCGAAAGAUAAAGAAAAAAGACAAAAUGGGUUUUUAGAGCAUUAUUUCGCGUUAUUUCAUGUGCGAAUGACAGUUACCGCCCAAGUUACGGCAUGAAUUAUCAACUGAUGACAAGAACAGAUUCAGGCCAACUGCUGACAAUGUUGUUUUAGAAUAUCUUUUUUUUAUUAUUUUAUUAUUAUUAUUUUUUUUCUUUUAAUAUUUUUCUAAAAAUUGUUUCUCCGACGUAGCUAGAUUUGUUUCGCUGACUGAACAACAUUAAGAAGCGAAAUUACUUUAAAAAAUAAUAAUUUAAUUUCAAAAUCCGGGUAGUAAAAUUUUAAUUGGAAAUUGUAAAAAGUUGAAGAAUUGUCUGGAAUGUUAUGAAACCUAUCAUUCAUUUUGCGAACGAUUCUUGUUUUAAUGAGUGUUCGCUAUAAAGUUAAUUUCCGUUUCGAGAAAUGCUGUAAAAAAAAAGAUAAAAUUAAUAUGUAGAUGUCUGAAAUUGUAUUCUCGACCAAGAAGACUUUAUACAAUUUUUUUUUUCUUUGUUUAAUCGAUAUAUUCCGAAGAAGUCGACACUGAAUUAUUCCUUUAUUACUGCAUCGAGGUACAUUAAGGGAAAAGAAUAUAUGCUAAACAAUUUCGAUUGUUUUUUUCCCCUUCGAUAGUCGACUUAACUGUUUGUCUGUUCUGUUCAGAACACUAAGUUUCUUCAUUAAGGAUUACUGCGACAAACAACAGUAAUCUCUUUGUGUGAUCUCCAUGUCCUCCCCUUGUCAACGUCGUGUAAGCCCUGCAUGUGGUUCUCCACUGGAUACACUAUCUAAAUAAUGAAAGCAAGUGUGAAAGUUUCUAAUUUAAUGUACUUUCGUUUACUAGGAAGUUUUCUUUUUUUGUUUUUUUUUUUAUUUCUGGCUUUAGGUGGUCAGCGGCGAAAUAACUUGCUUGGAGAUGCCGAAGAAAGUGAUAGAACCACGUUUUUAUCGCAUUCCUAUCAAACAUUGCUAUAUAACAAUAGAAAACAGCUUUUACUCUCCAGUGUCGUUCUCUAUUAAAGCCAGUAAUUUUGUCCGUUAUAUCUAUAAAACCACCUGGAUGACUUCCAUUGUGUUUAAUGUAUUGGGAACACUUCCAGGCUUUUGUCUUGAUCUGCUCUGUUGGGUAUUUGGAACACUUUGAUCUUAACAAAAAACUCUAUUUCUGCAAACAAAUUUCGUUCAUUAUUAAAUCCUUUGUCUGCAAAUUACUUACAAAUAUUCCAAAGCUGUAGGCUGUAACUACAAUCGAUUUAAAGAUAUAUCUACUCAAUUACUGUUAAAAUUUGUAACUUUCGGAAAGUUAC
rnacentral:lncRNA from 1 species